GACGAACGCUGGCGGCGUGCUUAACACAUGCAAGUCGAGCGGAAAGGCCUCUUCGGGGGUACUCGAGCGGCGAACGGGUGAGUAACACGUGAGUAAUCUGCCCUUCACUCUGGGAUAGCCACCGGAAACGGUGAUUAAUACCGGAUACGACACGUCCAGGCAUCUGGUGCGUGUGGAAACUUUUUGGGUGGGGGAUGUGCUCGCGGCCUAUCAGCUUGUUGGUGGGGUAAUGGCCUACCAAGGCUUCGACGGGUAGCCGGCCUGAGAGGGUGACCGGCCACACUGGGACUGAGACACGGCCCAGACUCCUACGGGAGGCAGCAGUGGGGAAUAUUGGACAAUGGGCGGAAGCCUGAUCCAGCAACGCCGCGUGGGGGAUGACGGCCUUCGGGUUGUAAACCUCUUUCAGUACCGACGAAGCGAAAGUGACGGUAGGUACAGAAGAAGGACCGGCCAACUACGUGCCAGCAGCCGCGGUAAGAC
rnacentral:rRNA from 1 species